CCGAUCAUGGCCGAAACAAUUUGCAAUUGUACCUAUAAAAGUAUCAAUUGUCGGAAUAGUGUAUUUAUUAUGCUUAAAUAUUUCUAGUAUUUUUGCUUAUUUUUCUUUUUAUUUUACACUACACCCACCCACCCAUCCAUCUGCGAUUGAAUUUAUGGCUACA